rnacentral:rRNA from 1 species
UACGGAGGGUGCGAGCGUUGUCCGGAAUCAUUGGGCGUAAAGGGCGCGUAGGUGGCUUCUCAAGCGUGCGGUGAAAGCCUGGGGCUCAACCCCGGGUCGGCCGUGCGAACUGGGGGGCUUGAGCACUGUAGAGGCAGGCGGAAUUCCGGGUGUAGCGGUGGAAUGCGUAGAGAUCCGGAAGAACACCGGUGGCGAAGGCGGCUCACUGGCCCGGAACUGACGCUGAGGUGCGAAAGCGUGGGGAGCAAACAGG